rnacentral:rRNA from 1 species
UUGGUUUUUCUGAAAUAUCUUAUUGUUAUUGUAUAUUUUUUAGAAUUAAUUGUUUAAAUUAUAGUUUAUUUUGUACUGUAUGGGGUUUUAUUUAUUUAUUUUUGUAAGUUGAUUUAUUUUGUUGUACCUUGUGUAUCAGGGUUUAUUUAGUUUAAUUAUUUAUUUUGUAUUUCCCGAUUUCGACUGAGUUAAUGAUUUAUUUUAGUUACUGUUUCAUAAGUAUUAAUAAUAUUUUGUUGGUAAUGAAAUGUUAUCGUUUUCGAUUAUUUCUGGUUUUCUAAGAGAUGAAUUUAAUUCAUGCAUUGUUAUUUAAUUUUUCUUUUUUUUUAGUUUAUUUUAAUUUAAUGCAAAUAUUUUGGGGGAUUAUCUCCUGAGUUUCUUUUUAAAAUUAUUUUUGUUUAAUUUAUUUCUGUGGGUUUUACAUUAACUAUCAUUUUAAUUAUGUUCAAAUUUCAUUAUUUAUUAUUUAUUUAUUUUUAUUUUGUUUAAUUUUUUAUUGGAAUGUUUGUUUUAAUUUUUUUUUUUUUGUAAUUUUGAUGUAAUUAGUAUAAUUUUAUUUUAUUUUGUUUUCUUUAGUUAUUUUUUUUCUAGGAAUUAGGCAAAUAAUUUAUGUCCGCCUGUUUAUCAAAAACUACUCCUAUUGAUAGUUUUUUAGGUAUGACCUGCCCGCUGAUGUUUAUUGAAGGGCCGCGGUAUUUUGACCGUGCAAAGGUAGCAUAGUCAUUAGUCUUUUAAUUGUAGGCUGGUAUGAAUGGUUUGACGAGAUAUAUACUGUCUUGAAUAAAUUUUUUGAAUUUGGGUUUUAAGUUAAAAUACUUAAAUUUUUUUAUGGGACGAGAAGACCCUAUAGAGUUUUAUAAAGUUUAAUUUUUUGGUUUGUGGUUUAUUCUUGUUAUUUGAUUUUAUUUUGUUGGGGCGAUGGGGAGAUUUAUUUAACUCUCUUUUAUUAUUUAUAUACUUAUUAGUAUUUUUAUGAUCCUUUAUUAUUGAUUAUAAGAUUAAAUUACCUUAGGGAUAACAGCGUAAUCUUUCCUGAGAGUUCUUAUUGACGGAAGGGGUUGCGACCUCGAUGUUGGAUUAAGGUGAAUUUCUGGUGUAGGAGCUAUUAUUAAUUUAUUAGGUCUGUUCGACCUUUAAAACCUUACAUGAUCUGAGUUCAAACCGGUGUGAGCCAGGUUGGUUUCUAUCUAUAAUUAAUUUUAGUGAUUUAGUACGAAAGGACCAUUCAUUAGGAAUAAUUCUUUUUUUAUGAAUUUUAUUAAUU